rnacentral:rRNA from 1 species
UACGUAGGGUGCGAGCGUUGUCCGGAAUUAUUGGGCGUAAAGAGCUCGUAGGCGGUUUGUCGCGUCUGCUGUGAAAACUCGGGGCUUAACUCCGGGCCUGCAGUGGGUACGGGCAGGCUAGAGUUCGGUAGGGGAGACUGGAAUUCCUGGUGUAGCGGUGAAAUGCGCAGAUAUCAGGAGGAACACCGAUGGCGAAGGCAGGUCUCUGGGCCGAUACUGACGUGAGGAGCGAAAGCGUGGGGAGCGAACAGG